GAAUUAAAAAAGUGGGAAAAAUAACAGACCCUUUAAUAGACUCAACAGGUCUCUUAAGUUCAACUUUACAUCUUUAUUUACUAACCCCUUUAAUUCAGACUUCCUUUCCUCCAUCCACACCCGACACCCCACAGAUCUUCUCCCUUCAAAACUUUGUUAUCUUUUCCACUUUUCUCUCUAACUCAUUUAUUGAUGCUAGAUCUUAAUUCCCAACUCACCUAAAAAAAAUUCAAACUUCUUCAUCAUCGUCGCCAUUUCUGCCAUAAAAUCAAGAUAAAUCUAUAAAACACAUCAACGAAGAUGAUAAAAUUCGCCACAACAAUUUUCUUAGUAUCAUUGUGGGCUUGUGGGCUUGUGAGACCAAUUUUCUUUCUAAUAAUAUGAAAUUCGGCACAACAACGAAGAUGAUGAAACUAGUGGGUCACAUCUACAAUUGACGAUGAUGAUGGCAUGAGUUCCUUUGGUUUAAGAUUUGCUUGAUUUUAUCACACAAAAUUCUCAUGAGAUAGAAAUGGAGCACUCAAGUUUAUGGAUUUAUACGGACUGACGAAGUCAUUGUAAAUUUUAGUAAAUUGAAAUUGUUCUUUUAUCAGGAUUUUAUGGUGGUCGAUUUUAUUGUAUCUAAUCAAUUUUGAUUUUUCUUAGUGCUACUUCUUAGAGUCUUGAAUUCUAAUUUACAAUUUAAUUUCCGCCAAUUUGUAUAAAAUAUAAAUAUGAAAUUAAAAAAAAAUUCAAA